rnacentral:rRNA from 1 species
GACGUAGGAUGCAAGCGUUGUCCGGAAUCAUUGGGCGUAAAGAGUUCGUAGGCGGUAACUUAAGUCUGGUGUUAAAGACUGGGGCUCAACCCCAGCAUCGCAUUGGAAACUGAGUUGCUAGAGUAUGGUAGAGGUCACGGGAAUUCCCGGUGUAGCGGUGAAAUGCGUAGAUAUCAGGAGGAAUACCGAUGGCGAAGGCAGGUCUCUGGGCUGACACUGACGCUCAUGCACGAAAGCGUGGGGAGCAAACAGG